GAGGAAUAUUGGUCAAUGGGCGAGAGCCUGAACCAGCCAUGUCGCGUGCAGGAUGACGGCCCUACGGGUUGUAAACUGCUUUUGUACGGGAAGAAAAAACGCCACGUGUGGUGUCUUGCCGGUACCGUACGAAUAAGGAUCGGCUAACUCCGUGCCAGCAGCCGCGGUAAUACGGAGGAUCCGAGCGUUAUCCGGAUUUAUUGGGUUUAAAGGGUGCGUAGGCGGGAGAUUAAGUCAGUGGUGAAAGUUUGCGGCUCAACCGUAAAAUUGCCAUUGAUACUGGUUUUCUUGAGUACAGUUGAGGUAGGCGGAAUGUGGUGUGUAGCGGUGAAAUGCAUAGAUAUACCACAGAACACCGAUUGCGAAGGCAGCUUACUAAAGUGUAACUGACGCUGAGGCACGAAAGCGUGGGGAUCAAAC
rnacentral:rRNA from 1 species